rnacentral:tRNA from 2 species
GUGGACGAAGCUAAAGUGGUCGAAGCCUCGGGUUGUGAUCCCGAGUUUAGCGGGUUCGAGUCCCGUCGUUCACCCCA